rnacentral:rRNA from 1 species
UAGUUGGUAUUUUGGGUAAAAGCCUACCAAGCCUAAGAUCCUUAGCUGUUCUGAGAGGUUGAACAGCCACACUGGGACUGAGACAAGGCCCAGGCUCCAUUUGGAGCCAGCAGUGAGGAAUUUUGGACAAUGAGCGAAAGCUUGAUCCAGCAAUACUACAUGAGUGAAGAAGGCUUUCAAGUUGUAACACUCUUUGGUUGAGGAGGAUAAUGACAGUACUCAACAAAAUAGCCCCGGCUAACUUCGUGCCAGCAGCCGCGGUAAGACGAAGGGGGCGAGCGUUAUCCGGAAUGACUGGGCGUAAAGGGUCCGUAGGCAGCAUUUUUUGUUGGAAGUUAAAUAAAAAAGCUUAACUUUUUUCCGCUUCUAAAACGUAAAUGCCUUGAGUUUGAUAGAAGAUAGCAGAAUUUCACAAGGAGGGGUGAUAUCCAGAGAUCUGUGAAGGAAUAUCAGAUGCGAAGGCGGCUAUCUAGAUCAACACUGACGUUGAGGGACGAAAGCAUGGGGAGCAAACAGGAUUAGAUACCCUGGUAGUCCAUGCCCUAAAAGAUGAGUGUUCGUGCUUAGAGAACUUUAGGCACUUAGUUAACACGUUAAACACUCCGCCUGGGGAGUACGAUCGCAAGGUUGGAACUCAAAGGAAUUGACGGGGGCCUAUACAAGUGGUGGAGCAUGUGGUUUAAUGCGAUAAUACGCGCGAAACCUUACCAGUUCUUGACAUAAAAAAGAAAAAGUUUGAAAAAGCAAUUUUAAAGAUUUUUACAGGUGCUGCAUGGCUGUCGUAAGCUCGUGUCGUGAGAUGUUAGGUUAACUCCUUUUAACGGGCGAAACCCCUUUUUUUCGUUGCUACUUAAUUUUAUUUUUAAAGCACUCUAAAAAAACUGCUCCCUUUUUUUAAUUCGGAGAGGAAGGUGGGGAUGACGUCAAGUCCUUAUGGCCCUUAUGAACUGGGCUACACACGUGCUACAAUGGUAAAGACAAUAAGAAGUGAUAGGGUAACCUAAAACCAAUCUUUAAACUUUAUCAAAGUUCGGAUUGUGGACUGCAACUCGUCCAUAUGAAGGUGGAAUCACUAGUAAUCGCACAUCAGCAUGUUGCGGUGAAUUUGUACCUAGGCCUUGUACACACCGCCCGUCACGUGCCGGGAGUUGGC